AGAGAGGCAGGAGCUCCUCUGCAGGUCCCCCCAGGCACCUCCCCUUCUGGAGGAAGGCUUGGGAGUCCCCAAAGAGGCAUCCUCAGUCACUUCCCUCUGCUGUGACUCAGGAAGACCAGCUCCCCUCACUGUGCUAGGCAUCACUUCCCUGGUCCCUUUCCUUCCAAGGCCCCAGAGAGGAAGGCAUGGGGUGGGCUCUAGCCCUGCUUCUAGCUUUGCUGCCUCCUGCCAGUCAGAUAUCUUCCAACUUGGAAGUGAGAAUGAAGUCAGUCACUGGGACAACGGGGUCAUCUGCUGUAAUCACCUGUGAUCUUCCUGUAGAAAAUUCCUUAUACAUCCACUGGUACCUCCACCAGGAGGGGGAAGCCCCACAGCAUCUUCUGUACCAUGUCUUCUCCAGCUCCAGGGAUGUGUUGGAAUCAGGAGUCAGUUCAAGAAAGUACUAUACUCUUGAAGCCACGAGGUGGAGCUCAAAAGUGAGACUACGAAAUCUAAAUCAACGUGACUCUGGGAUCUAUUACUGUGCCACCUGGGACAGGCACGGUGAGUCAGACCUGCCCUACACCACACUGAAAACCUGCCUUGUGGCUGCUUCUGCUACACAAGAUUGAGCUGCCCCCUCUCAUUUCCUGCCACUGAAUUUCCUGUAUUCUGUACAGAGAGAAACACAGCUUCACUCCGGUCUCCCGCUAAUAUCACACUCUCCUGGCAGCAGCUGCACCUGUUCCCACCCCUCCCCCAGGACUUUCCUGAACACCAAGCUGCCAUGUCCAGGCCUCAGCUAAGCAGCCUGCCUGAGAGCAAGGUUUUCUCAGCUCUCCUAGGACACGGGGGAGGCCCACUCACUCUGCUUCCUAGGACACACAGGUACACCUAGGGUCCAGCUGUGAAACAAGAUAUUUCGGACAGCAAAUGAAAAGGGUGUUUAUACUGAAUCAUGUAUCCAAUCAUGGUCCAGAGAUCACAGCCGAGAGUGGUGUUCACCUCUUAUAUCUAUAACAAUAUAAGCAAUACUAUAAUUACCACGAAAUAACUAGGCCUAGAUGUGCAGUUGACCCUGCUCUCCCUCUGCCCUCUUUUCCUCUCUCUACUUUCUUGGUUGCUUGCU